rnacentral:rRNA from 1 species
CCUACGGGGUGCAGCAGUGGGGGAUAUUGCACAAUGGGGGAAACCCUGAUGCAGCGACGCCGCGUGUGGGAAGACGGUCCUCUGGAUUGUAAACCACUGUCCCCAGGGACGAAACUGACGGUACCUGGGGAGGAAGCUCCGGCUAACUCCGUGCCAGCAGCCGCGGUACUACGUAGGGGGCGAGCGGUGUCCGGAAUUACUGGGUGUAAAGGUAGCGUAGGCGGGGAUGCAAGUUGGGUGUAAAAACUACCGGCUCAACGGGUAGUCGCACUCAAAACUGCAGCUCUUGAGUGAAGUAGAGGCAGGCGGAAUGCCUAGGGUAGCGGUGAAAUGCGUAGAUAUUAGGAGGAACACCAGUGGCGAAGGCGGCCUGCUGGGCUUUUACUGACGCUGAGGCUCGAAAGUGUGGGGAGCAAACAGGAUUAGAUACCCUUGUAGUC